rnacentral:rRNA from 1 species
CUACGGCUUGAAAUCCAGCUCAAAUAGAGUAUAUUAAAGUUUGUUGCGGUUUAAAACGCAUCGUAGAAUUGGAUCUGCGGCCUCGGAGAACGGUCCCCCGAAAGGGCGGUCACUGUUACUCCAAGCCUAAAUAUCUAGUCUACUCUACGGUGCUCUUAACCGAGUGCCUAGAGUGACUGGAACGUUUACUUUGAAAAAAUUAGAGUGCUUAAAGCAGGCGAAAUAGCCUGAAUAAGGUGCAUGGAAUAAUGGAAUAGGACCUCGGUUCUAUUUUGUUGGUUUUCGGAGCCCGAGGUAAUGAUUAAGAGGAACAGACGGGGGCAUUCGUAUUCCGGCGCUAGAGGUGAAAUUCUUGGACCGCCGGAAGACGGACGACUGCGAAAGCAUUUGCCAAGAAUGUUUUCAUUAAUCAAGAACGAAAGUUAGAGGUUCGAAGGCGAUCAGAUACCGCCCUAGUUCUAACCGUAAACGAUGACAACCAGCGAUUAGUCGGUGUUAAUAUACGACCCGACUAGCAGCUUCCGGGAAACCAAAGUUUUUCGUUUCCGGGGGAAGUAUGGUUGCAAAGCUGAAACUUAAAGGAAUUGACGGAAGGGCACCACCAGGAGUGGAGCCUGCGGCUUAAUUUGACUCCAACACGGAGGAA